rnacentral:rRNA from 1 species
UACGGAGGAUCCAAGCGUUAUCCGGCUUUAUUGGGUUUAAAGGGUGCGUAGGCGGCCUAUUAAGUCAGGGGUGAAAGACGGUAGCUCAACUAUCGCAGUGCCCUUGAUACUGAUGGGCUUGAAUGUACUUGAGGUAGGCGGAAUGUGACAAGUAGCGGUGAAACGCAUAGAUAUGUCACAGAACACCAAUUGCGAAGGCAGCUUACUAUGGUUUUAUUGACACUGAGGCACGAAAGCGUGGGGAUCAAAGAGG